UGCUAUUAUCUUAUGCAAUAACAAUUUAAUACAAUAACUGAAUACUUACUAUGUAAACUAUGCUAAUGAAAAUUUACAAUUUGUUUUAAUUGUUUAAAAAACAUCAAUGAAAAAUUUUACUUCUAUAGGUACAAAUGAAAUGUGACUUUUAAGCAAUAAAGAGGAAAAAUCUUACACAUCAAUUGAGGAAAAAUUAAGACGAGGGUGUGGAAGAUGACGUAGAUGUUGAUGAUGACGAAGAUGUUGUUGUUGAUGUUGUAGAAGAUGAUGAUGACGACCUUGAUGACGAUGAUUAGUGAGAACCUGAUUUGUUUGUGGAAACACAAGAUAUCACAUUCGAUCUAUUUCAGGUUUGCCAAAGACUAAAUCAAUUGGAAGUCGAAUUUCAGAGCCAAACAUCAUGGUUGUUGGUGUGACACCAGUUGACUCGUGCACAGACGAACGAUAUGCCAUCAAACAAAA